rnacentral:lncRNA from 1 species
UGGGGGCCAGUGUAUAAACUCCACCGUCGCGGGGACCGGCCCCCGUAAACUCCACCGUCACGGGGACCAGUGUCGGUAAACUCCAUCGUCGCGGGAGCCGGUCCCUGUAAACCCCACCGUCGCGGGGGCCGGUGUGUAAACUCCACCGUCGCGGGAGGCGGUCCCCGUAAAUUCCACCUUCGCGGGAGCCGGUGCCCGUAAACUCCACCGUCGCGGGGGCCGGUCCCCGUGAAUUCCACCGUCGCGGGGGCCAGUGUGUAAACUCCACCGUCGCGGGGGCCGGUCCCCGUAAACUCCACCGUCGCGGGGGCCGGUCCCCGUAAACUCCACCGUCGCGGGGGCCGGUCCCCGUAAACUCCACCGUCGCGGGGGCCGGUCCCCGUAAACUCCACCGUCGCGGGGGCCGGUCCCCGUAAACUCCACCGUCACGGGGACCGGUGUCGGUAAACUCCACCGUCGUGGGAGCCAGUGUGUAAACUCCGCCGUCGCGGGAGCCGGUCCCCGUGAACCCCACCGUCGCGGGGGCCGGUGUGUAAACUCCACCGUCGCGGGAGCCGGUCCCCGUAAACUCCACCGUCGCGGGGGCCGGUCCCCGUAAACACCACCGUCGCGGGGGCCGGUGUCAGUAAACUCGACUGUCGCGGGGGCCGGUCCCCGUGAACCCCAUCGUCGCGGGGGCCGGUCCCCGAACCGCACCGUCGCGGAGGCCGGUCCCCGUGAAUUCCACCGUCGCGGGGGCCAGUGUGUAAACUCCACCGUCGCGGGGGAGCUGGUCCCCGUAAACUCCACCGUCGCGGGAGCCGGUCCCCGUAAACUCCACCGUCGCGGGGUCCGGUCCCCGUGAACUCCACCGUCGCGGGGGCCGGUCCCCGUGAACUCCACCGUCGCAGGGGCGGUCCCCGUGAACUCCACCGUCGCGGGGGCCCGUGUCGGUAAACUCCACCGUCGUGGGAGCCGGUCCCCGUAAACUCCACUGUCGCGGGAGCCGGUCCCCGU